UUCGUGUUGAGUGGUGGGAGAUUUGUCUAUGCCUCCUUGUUGCGUUUGCUCGUCUUAAAGUUCGUCUUGAGUAUGUCAGCAAGUAAGGACGUGCUUGCCCUCGCUUCCCUUGAGGUUGACCUGUCAAGUAUUGAGCCUGGGACCACUGUGACUGUGAAGUGGCGGGGCAAGCCAGUUUUCAUCAGGCGCAGGACAGAGGCUGAUGUUAAGCUGGCCAAUAGUGUUGAUGUUGCAUCCCUCCGU
rnacentral:lncRNA from 1 species